ensembl:snoRNA
GUCCAUGUAUCUUUGGGACCCGUCAGCUGUGGCAGCCUCUUUUCCUAACCAUGGAAGAGUAUCUAUGUGCAUGUUUACUGGCAAAGCAGUCUCCUUUAAUUGGUAUCAGAUGCAGAUGGGCACAAGUAACAUUC